UUGGGCGGGGCCCUGAGCGAGGCGGAGCCAAGGGGACUGCACGAGGUGCGCGCCUGGUAGAAGACCGUGGAGAUGCUCCGCUGGACGCGUGCUUGGACGGUUCCCUAUAAGGGGAUCGGCCCCUCCAAUUCGAGCUUCUCCAGACUGCCUGUCGCACCCAGCAGCAGUCAAGGCGGCACCGAGCCGAGACCGGUGCCGCUUUCCUACAAGCUUCUGGACGGCGAGGCAGCUAGCCCGCCCCUUGUCUUUCUGCAUGGGCUCUUCGGCAGCAAAACCAACUUCAACUCCAUCGCCAAGGCCCUGGCUCAGCAGACAGGCCGGAGGGUGCUGACAGUGGAUGCUCGGAACCAUGGUGAGAGCCCUCACAGCCCAGACAUGAGCUACGAGGCCAUGAGCAAGGAUCUGCAAGACCUCCUGCCCCAACUGGGCCUGGUGCCCUGCGUCCUCAUUGGCCACAGCAUGGGAGGCAGGACCGCCAUGCUGCUGGCACUUCAGAGGCCAGAGCUGGUGGAGCGCCUGAUUGCCGUGGACAUCAGCCCAGUGGAGACCACAUCCAGCUCGAACUUUCCAAACUACAUCGCAGCCAUGAGGGCCGUGGACAUGGCGAAUGAGGCGUCCCUUUCUGGCGCCCGAAAACUGGCUGAUGAAAGGCUCCGCUCUGUUAUCCAGAGCGCUAGCACGCGGCAGUUCCUGCUCACCAACCUGGUGGAGGUGGACGGGCACUUCGUGUGGAGGCUGAACUUGGAUGCCUUGGCCCAGCACAUGGACAAGAUCUUGGACUUCCCCGCACUACAAGAAACCUACUCUGGGCCAACCCUCUUCCUCCGGGGUGGAAACUCUCAAUUCCUGCUUCCCAGCCACUACCCUGAGAUUAGGCGGCUGUUCCCUCGGGCCCAGAUGCAGACUGUGCCAAACGCUAGCCACUGGGUCCACAGCGAACGCCCGCAGGACUUCACGGCAGCAGUCCGAAGCUUCCUGGCCUAAGGGUUGCUGGCCAGAGGAGACGUGAAACCCCAGGCGUCAAGGCUCUGCGUCCUGCUCCCUGUUUCUGUACAGAAGCACUCAGGACAGAGCCUCGAUGGGGAGCCAUCCACCGCCCUCCCAACCCCCGCAAGCAGCUGCCUCUCACUUGGCGAUAGCGUCAUCUCGCUCCCGGAGGACCUGGUCCAGCGAAGGCUCUGUCUGGGUGUGCCCCAGUGCUCCAGCCGCUUGGGAUUCCGGGCUCUGCAGUCGGGCCACAGAGGUGGGAGCAGGGGUUUCUGGGUCUUGCCUGGAUGAGGUGCCCCAUGUGGCCCUUCCGCCCUGACCUUGAUCCUGAUGCCGAUGUCAGGAGGGGAAGGGUCUGAGACACUCUGCACCUGCCCGCCAGUAGUAGGUGUGGCCCCCUUCCCACCUAACGGGGAGCAGAGGGGCGGGGUGUUUGGACCCCCAGGGAGGAAAGGCAUUCUUACCCGAUCCCCACGAAAGGGGCGAAGUGGCUUCAGAAGGGCAACUUACCCCUUGAGGGCCCCAGACUGAGAGGGUGGCCUGGCGACUGGGACUCUUGUCAGCGGGGUGGGGCAGGCGGAGGACAUGGCCCUUUGCCCUUGCUUCCUGUCCGGGCACUCCCUGUCAGGCCCCACCCCCGGCCGGCUGGCCGUGCCCUUGUCUCCCCUCCUGGAACCCUCUGGCCAGACCCAGUUUUCUCAGCCCCUUCCUUGCCCAGUCAUUCAUGCCCUUCACCUCAAGGUGGCGCUCCACUCACGUCAGGAGAUGAGAAAGGAGCGUGAGAGCCUGUGCUCAGUGACUUAAGUCCUGUCAGACUCUGUGACCCUGUGGACUGCAGCACGCAGGCUCCUCUGUCCGUGGGAUUCUCCAGGCAAGAAUAAUGGAGUGGGUUGCCAUUUCCUCCUCCAGGGGAUCUUCCUGACCUGGGGAUCAAACCCACGUCUCCUGCAGAUUGACAGGAGAUUGACAGGCAGAUUCUUCACCACUGAGCCACCUGGGAAGCCAGAUGAGAAAGGAGGGACAGAGCCCAGCUGCCUCCAGUGCUGAGACUAGUGCCCCACCCCCCUAUCCUGCAGAGCUGGCAUCUUGGAACCCUGAAUGAAUGGCAUCAUCCAUAUAACCAGAACCAGAGGGAAAUAGGUCUAACUGUUCCUGGCAAAUUUCUCCUAACAUCUUAGCAAAAACAGUUCCCAUCUGGGGAUUCCCAAGCAGUCUAGUGGUUAGGACUCCAUGCUCUCACUGCCAGGGGCUUAGGUUCAAUCUCUUGUCAGAGAACUAAAAUCCCACAAGUUGCACAGCAAAAAAAAAAAAAAAUUCUCCUAACAUCUUGAACGUCCAUCCUCCCUAGAAAUAUCCUCCAGUAUUCCCACAUUAUUGCUCAUUAUCCCCCCAAUACUCCCCACAUUCUGAUCGUGGAGCGUGGGUGGGGAUGGGGAGGUCUCGGAAUCUCAGUAUCCCACACCUUCCUAGCUGCAACCGCUUAGUGCCCAGGUGACAUCAAAGAUAUAAAUGGGCUUCCCCUUUGAGAGACCUCUGCAGCACAGGUCCGUCUUGGGCAUUAGACCCUCGGUCCUGCUCUAAACAGUAUAUCCUUCUUCCAAGAUCCCCACCAGGAAGCUCCCUGCAGACAUGACUCCUGAUGGUCCGUGGGUCCCACUCAGCCAGGUGCACCUCCAACAGCCAGACAUCCCAGUUUCUUUGACUGAACCCCAGUGAAGAGGUAGAACUGAGCUGUACCCCUAAACACCCCUUUUGUGGAAGUUUGCAUUCAGUGUAUUUCUGGAGGAGGCUACUCUGUCAUGAUCCAGACAGGACCCCUGCUCUCGGAAUUCUGGGUAUUAUCAGAGAAGGGUGUCAGGGAGCCCAGGGACAGGGGGAGCACAGAGGGCCCUCACAUCCAGCCAUGGGGAUUCCACAGGGGCUUGUCUGAAAAUGAGUCCCGAAGGCCAGCCGGAGUCAGCCAGAAGGGCUAACAUUCAUGCCAGGCUAAAAUUCAUGACGUUUAUUUUAACUUUUUUCUUUGAAACAAUUUCAAACUGUAAUGCCCCCCCUCCAAAAAAUUCCUUUUAGGGUAAAAAAAAAUCUAGUGUAAAACAUUGCUCCCAGUUGUCACAUCUCUCUCCUUCAAUCUAGAACAACUUUGCAACCUUUCUUUGAAUUUUGACCUUGGCGUGUUUGAAGAUUACAGGGAAGUUAUUUUGUAGACUGGCGUGUCCUCUGAUACGGGUUUGUUCAUUCCUCCUGCACAUUUAAACAACUGUCACACAUUUUGGGCAGAAAUAUCACAAAAAAAAGAUACUGUGGGUUUUUUUGUUUUGCUGCACCGUGGAGCCUGUGGGAUCUUAGUUACCUGAACCGGGAUUGAACCCAAGCCAUGGCAGUGAAAGCACCAAAGUGCCAAGUCCUAACCACUGGACCACCAGGGAAUUCCCGAUGCUGUGUUCUUACAUCCAGUAUCAUUUGGAACCAUGACUGGUGGUGCUGGUAAUAUUGAUCACUUGAUCAUAAUUAGUCAGUAUUGAGAAAAUGAGGUAUUUUAUGACCAUAGGUUUCAGCAUCCAUUUAUGUAUCUUGUCUGAAUUAAUACAAUGGCUUGCAAAUGGAGUUUUCCAGUUUUAUAAUUUCUUCUGCAUUUAUUAGUUGGCCUUCUAUUAUUAAUAUAAAGAAGAACUUUUUCUUCACUCCUAUUUAUUCAUUUUACUUAUGUCAGGUGGACUUGUGAUAUUCUAUUUUAUUCAAGAGGCUAUAACACAUUCCUAUCAUUUAUUUUGAUGCUCAUAUUGUCCCAGAACUGGUCAGUGGGUGCCCCUUACUGACCUCUUCAUUUUAAUGUGUCACAUCCUUCUUUGGAACCUUCCAUUCUUUCUGGCUCAAGAAGAUAUUCCAGGUUCACCUUAUUUUUCCGUGCCCCCAGCCCUAGAAUUAUCCAUUUUGGCAAGAAUACCUAUUUCUUUUUGGUGGUGAAUAGUAUUUAGAAACCAAGAUGUGGGUGUUAGUUGUGCUCGAUGCAGUUAAGGUAACGUCUCCUGCCAGGCCCACUCAGUAGACACACGUUCUCCAUACACACAUAAACAUACACAUUUAUACCUCUGUUCCUUCAUCUGUGUGAGAGUUCAUUUUGUAUGUCAACUUAGGACUGAGUCACUGGAUGCCCAGUUAUCUGGUUAAACAUUACUUCUGGGUGUGUCUGUGAGGGUGUUUCCAGAAGAGAUUAGCAUUUGACUUGGUGGCCUGAAUAAAACGGUGGCCCUCCCCAAGAUGGACAGGAAUCAUCCAACCCAUUGAGGGCCUGAAUAGAACAAAAAGCCAGAGGAAAGGCUGAAUUCUGUCUUCCAGCCUGUUGAGCUGAGAUCUUGGUCUUCUCCUGCCCUUAGGCUGGUACUUGCACCACCAGGGCACUGCCCCUUCUCAGGCCUUUUUUCUCAGUCUGGAGCUCCAGCACCCCGCUUUCCAAGUCUCCAGCUUGCAGACAGCAGACUGUGAGACUUCUCAGCCUCCAUAAUGGUGUGAGUCAAUUCCUCAUAAUAAAAUUUCUUUCUCUAUAUUUAUCAUAUUGGUUUUGGUUCUCCGAAAACCCAAACGAAUACAACUUCCAUGUAUUGAAAGAUAGUGGUCAUUCAGACAUUACGUUCCAGUCCAGUGGCACUGGGUUCAUCGCAGCUUUCCCCCUUUCCAGAUUUUUACUCCCUUUUCCCCAGUUGUCUUCAAUAUAUUCUUGUAAUUUGUUCAAUGUAUGUAGCUAAUCCUGUAUGUAGGUAAUCCCCUGAGACAACAGGCUGCCCCUGACUUAAAUGCCCUCCUUACAAGGGGUUGGGUCCAGCAGGGCUGCCUUCUCACCCCACCCCAAUCCUAUCUGCAUACAUGGCCCUGGCUGCCAUUGGGCUAUCAGACAUUUCUAAGAGAUUUUUUUUCUGGGGGGGUGGUGCUUCACUAUAUGUGGGAUCUUAGUUCCCUAACCAGGGAUAAAACCCACACACCCUGCACUGGAAGACAAGACCUAACCACUGGACCACCAGGGAAGUCCCUCUAAGAGCCUUAUAUUCAUUCAUUCCACAGGUAUUUACUGAGCACCUACUAUUGCUUCAGGCAUGUUUCCCGGUGAUGGAAAGCAGGAAGACAGACAGAGUUCCCUGACCUCCCGAGCUCACGUUCUAGGGAAGGGAGACAGACAAUAAACAAAAAAGUACACCAGAUGGUAAGAAGUUCUGUGAAGAAAGAGAAGGAGAAUAAGAAAAGACUAGGAGACUGCUAGUUUAUGUAAUUCUGUGCUAUCCUGCUGCCGCUGCUAAGUCACUUCAGUCGUGUCCAACUCAGUGCGACCCCAUAGACAGCAGCCCACCAGGCUCCCCCGUCCCUGGGAUUCUCCAGGCAAGAACACUGGAGUGGGUUGCCAUUUCCUUCUCCAGUGCAUGAAAGUGAAAAGUGAAAGUGAAGUCGCUCAGUUGUGUCCAACUCUUCGCAACCCCAUGGACUACAGCCUACCAGGCUCCUCCAUCCAUGGACCCUAGGGAGACCGCAAAUAUUAACCUACCACUUAGAUGAAAAAUAGCCAUUCUCAUGACUUGGAAUAAUAAUUUUUCCAGCAACAGCAUCAUUUAUGAAUUCAAAAGGUCUGUAUUUCCAAACACAAGUGAAGAUGAUACAUUCGAGAAAACUGUAUGGGGGAAGUCAAACGAGGGGCUAGGUAUGGCUCAUGGCAGAUGCCAAUGAGCAGCACAAAUGCAAGUGAAGGGUUUGAAUCAACUUUCACAAACCGUGAGCAUGGAAAAGAAUUUCCUUUGAAAUAAAGUUAUUCUUAAAAAUA